GACGAACGCUGGCGGCGUGCUUAACACAUGCAAGUCGAACGGAAAGGCCCUGCUUUUGUGGGGUGCUCGAGUGGCGAACGGGUGAGUAACACGUGAGUAACCUGCCCUUGACUUUGGGAUAACUUCAGGAAACUGGGGCUAAUACCGGAUAGGAGCCCCUGCUGCAUGGUGGGCGUUGGAAAGUUUCGGCGGUUGGGGAUGGACUCGCGGCUUAUCAGCUUGUUGGUGGGGUAGUGGCUUACCAAGGCUUUGGCGGGUAGCCGGCCUGUGAGGGUGACCGGCCACAUUGGGACUGAGAGACGGCCCAGACGCCUACGGGAGGCAACAGUGGGGAAUAUUGCACAAUGGGAGGAAGCCUGAUGCAGCAACGCCGCGUGCGUGAUGACGGCCUUCGGGUUGUAAACCGCUGUCGCCUGUGACGAAGCGUGAGUGACGGUAAUGGGUAAAGAAGCACCGGCUAACUACGUG
rnacentral:rRNA from 1 species